CCUACGGGAGGCAGCAGUGGGGAAUCUUAGACAAUGGGGGCAACCCUGAUCUAGCCAUGCCGCGUGAGUGAUGAAGGCCUUAGGGUCGUAAAGCUCUUUCGCCUGUGAUGAUAAUGACAGUAGCAGGUAAAGAAACCCCGGCUAACUCCGUGCCAGCAGCCGCGGUAAUACGGAGGGGGUUAGCGUUGUUCGGAAUUACUGGGCGUAAAGCGCGCGUAGGCGGAUUAGAAAGUUGGGGGUGAAAUCCCGGGGCUCAACCUCGGAACUGCCUCCAAAACUCCUAGUCUAGAGUUCGAGAGAGGUGAGUGGAAUUCCGAGUGUAGAGGUGAAAUUCGUAGAUAUUCGGAGGAACACCAGUGGCGAAGGCGGCUCACUGGCUCGAUACUGACGCUGAGGUGCGAAAGUGUGGGGAGCAAACAGGAUUAGAUACCCUGGUAGUCCACACCGUAAACGAUGAAUGCCAGUCGUCGGGUAGUAUACUAUUCGGUGACACACCUAACGGAUUAAGCAUUCCGCCUGGGGAGUACGGUCGCAAGAUUAAAACUCAAAGGAAUUGACGG
rnacentral:rRNA from 1 species